rnacentral:rRNA from 1 species
GAUGAACGCUAGCGGCAGGCUUAAUACAUGCAAGUCAAGGGGUAGCAAUACAACCGGCGCACGGGUGAGUAACGCGUACACAACAUACCAUAUACUGGAGUAUAGCUUUGGGAAACUGAAGGUAAUCCUCCAUAACAUUGCGAGAGGGCAUCUGAUUGCAAUUAAAGUUUCGGCGGUAUAUGAUUGGUGUGCGUUUGAUUAGCUAGUUGGUAGGGUAACGGCCUACCAAGGCGACGAUCAAUAGCUGGCGUGAGAGCGCGACCAGCCACACUGGAACUGAGACACGGUCCAGACUCCUACGGGAGGCAGCAGUAGGGAAUAUUGGACAAUGGAGGAAACUCUGAUCCAGCCAUGCCGCGUGAUAGAUGAAGGCCCUCUGGGUUGUAAAUAUCUUUUAUCUGGGAAGAAACACUCCUAUUCUUAGGAACUUGACGGUACCAGAGGAAUAAGCACCGGCUAACUCCGUGCCAGCAGCCGCGGAAAGUAUCG